GACGAACCGUGCGAACGUUAUUCGGAAUCACUGGGCUUAAAGCGCGUGUAGGCGGCCCGGCACGUCCGUCGCUGAAAUCCCCCGGCUCAACCGGGGAAGGGGCGUGGAUACGACCGGGCUGGAGGGGGGUAGGGGGAGCCGGAACUUCCGGUGGAGCGGUGAAAUGCGUUGAGAUCGGAAGGAACGCCCGUGGCGAAAGCGGGCUCCUGGACCCCACCUGACGCCUGAGACGCGAAAGCCAGGGAGCGAACGGG
rnacentral:rRNA from 1 species